CCUACGGGUGGCUGCAGUGGGGAAUAUUGCACAAUGGGGGAAACCCUGAUGCAGCGACGCCGCGUGAGUGAUGAAGUAUUUCGGUAUGUAAAGCUCUAUCAGCAGGGAAGAUAAUGACGGUACCUGACUAAGAAGCUCCGGCUAAAUACGUGCCAGCAGCCGCGGUAAUACGUAAGGAGCAAGCGUUAUCCGGAUUGACUGGGUGUAAAGGGUGCGCAGACGGAAGAGCAAGUGUGAUGGAAAAGUCGGGGGCUCAACCCUGAGACUACAUUGGAAACUGUCCGGCUAGAGUGCAGGAGAGGUAAGUGGAAUUCCUAGUGUAGCGGUGAAAUGCGUAGAUAUUAGGAGGAACACCAGUGGCGAAGGCAGCUUACUGGACUGUAACUGACGUUGAGGCUCGAAAGCGUAGGGAGCAAACAGGAUUAGAUACCCGAGUAGUC
rnacentral:rRNA from 1 species